CCUACGGGAGGCAGCAGUGAGGAAUAUUGGUCAAUGGCCGGAAGGCUGAACCAGCCAAGCCGCGUGAGGGAAGAAGGCGCUGCGCGUCGCAAACCUCUUUUGCUGGGGGGCAACAGGCCGGUCUCGACCGGUCCUGAGGGUACCCGGAGCAAAAGCAUCGGCUAACUCCGUGCCAGCAGCCGCGGUAAUACGGAGGAUGCGAGCGUUAUCCGGAUUCAUUGGGGUUAAAGGGUGCGCAGGCGGGACGUAAAGCCGGCGGUGAAAUCGCGGGGCUCAACCCCGCCUAGCCGUCGGAAAUGGGGGCCUUGGAGGGGGCGGAGGGAUGGCGAAAGGGGGGGGUAGCGGUGAAAUGCA
rnacentral:rRNA from 1 species